AGUAGAGCCGACAUCGGUACAGAACACAGUAGAAAUGGGUCAGAAUCAGUCGGGUGCAGGUGGGGGAUCGCCUGGUGAUAAAAAAGAUGACAAAGAUAAAAAGAAGAAGUAUGAACCUCCUGUUCCCACAAGAGUUGGUAAAAAGAGGCGAAGGACAAGGGGCCCAGAUGCUGCCAAUAAACUACCACAAGUCACACCCCACACAAGGUGCAGAUUAAAGUUACUGAAGCUAGAAAGAAUAAAAGAUUACUUGCUGAUGGAAGAGGAGUUUAUUAGAAAUCAAGAAAGACUGAAACCACAGGAAGAAAAACAUGAGGAGGAACGUUCUAAAGUUGAUGAUUUACGUGGAACUCCCAUGUCAGUUGGAUCUUUAGAAGAAAUUCAUAGAUGAUAACCAUGCCAUUGUAUCUACAUCAGUUGGAUCAGAACAUUAUGUUAGUAUUCUCUCAUUUGUUGAUAAAGAUCAAUUGGAGCCAGGAUGUUCUGUCUUGAUGAAUCAUAAG